GACGAACGCUGGCGGCGUGCUUAACACAUGCAAGUCGAACGGAAAGGCCCUGCUUUUGUGGGGUGCUCGAGUGGCGAACGGGUGAGUAACACGUGAGUAACCUGCCCUUGACUUUGGGAUAACUUCAGGAAACUGGGGCUAAUACCGGAUAGGAGCUCCUGCUGCAUGGUGGGGGUUGGAAAGUUUCGGCGGUUGGGGAUGGACUCGCGGCUUAUCAGCUUGUUGGUGGGGUAGUGGCUUACCAAGGCUUUGACGGGUAGCCGGCCUGAGAGGGUGACCGGCCACAUUGGGACUGAGAUGCGGCCCAGACUCCUACGGGAGGCAGCAGUGGGGAAUAUUGCACAAUGGGCGGAAGCCUGAUGCAGCAACGCCGCGUGCGGGAUGACGGCCUUCGGGUUGUAAACCGCUUUCGCUUGUGACGAAGCGUGAGUGACGGUAAUGGGUAAAGAAGCACCGGCUAACUACGUG
rnacentral:rRNA from 1 species